UAGCACACCACAUCUUCCUUAAGCAUGGACUAUCUUAUAUUUACUUAGUGAUCAUGAAGAACAAUUGUAUAAACUUCACAUUUAAAAUCACAGAAAUUAAACAUGAGCUAAAAGGAUGUUCAAUAAGAUCAAAUAAGUUCAUACAAUUCCAAGAUAAAAAAAAUUAAAUACAUAAAAUCCGUGUCCCUUUGUUAGGGCUGCAUCCAGCCCUGGAGAAGAUCAGCCUUCCAUGAAGAGUUGAACAGCUGCAUUGCAGGGGAACUUCAUGAUGAUUGGCUCCUUCCUCCUUCCUCCCGUCGACACCCUCUCAGCCCAUCAUCAUCUUUUCCUUUGGGAAAUCAUUCCCAAAAUACUCAAGAAACUCUUCUCCCUCCUCUGUUUCCCGUGGGACUUCCCGAAUAAAAUAACUAAAGGAUGGGAUCGGCCUUCCUGAGAAGAGAUGGUUCAGAGAAGAGCUGGGAUCAUCCCCCGAUGGGGAAGAAGGAUUGCUCCCCUCUGAUCAAAGUCUUCCCUUUAUAUAGGCAACCCAUCUUCCUCUCUCUCUUCCUUGUGGCUAUUCCGAAUGGGUGGAUAAUGCUGUGGAGGCUUUAUCUCUUCCGCGAAUGGUGGAUAGAUGCUGCUCCUUGGAGGAAAUCUGGGAAGUUCAUUGGCUUGAUCCGAAGAAGACGAUGAUGUAGCCAAAUCGCGGAUAAAGCAGAGACAUAGAUGCUGGAUUCAAGCUUAAGGCUGCGUGAAAUAGGGAAGCUGGAAUGGAUGUUGAGUCUGCUGAUCCGUGAAGCUUGGAAGGAUGACGUCGAAUCCUAACUGGUCGUGGGAUAAGGAAGAACUCGGACGGAUUCGUGAGCUGGGAGGAAGGCUGCGGACGACUGGAUUACAACC
rnacentral:lncRNA from 1 species